GACGAACGCUGGCGGCGUGCUUUAGGCAUGCAAGUCGAACGCGAAAGCCCCUUCGGGGGUGAGUAGAGUGGCGAACGGGUGAGUAACACGUGGGUAACCUGCCCCUCGCAGGGGGAUAACCGGGGGAAAUCCCGGCUAAUACCCCGUACGCUUGCUGGGGCGCAUGCUCCGGCAAGGAAAGGUAGCUUCGGCCAUCCGGCGAGGGAGGGGCCCGCGGCCCAUUAGCUAGUUGGUGGGGUAACGGCCCACCAAGGCGACGAUGGGUAGCUGGCCUGAGAGGGUGGUCGGCCACACUGGACCGGAGACACGGCCCAGCCUCCUACGGGAGGCAGCAGCCAGGAAUCUUGCGCAAGGGGCGAAAGCCUGACGCAGCAACGCCGCGUGGGCGAUGAAGGCCUUCGGGUCGUAAAGCCCUGUUGUCGGGGACGAAGGGCGAAGGGUUAAUAGCCCCUAGCCUGACGGUACCCGACGAGGAAGCCCCGGCUAACUACGUG
rnacentral:rRNA from 1 species